rnacentral:rRNA from 1 species
GACGAACGCUGGCGGCGUGCUUAACACAUGCAAGUCGAACGAAGUGGCGAACGGGUGAGUAACGCGUAAUCAACCUGCCCUUCAGAGGGGGACAACAGUUGGAAACGACUGCUAAUACCGCAUACUGAAGGAGGGGAUUGCGUCUGAUUAGCUAGGUGGAGGGGUAACGGCCCACCAAGGCGAUGAUCAGUAUCCGGUCUGGUGGGAUGAACGGCCACAUUGGGACUGAGACACGGCCCAGACUCCUACGGGAGGCAGCAGUGGGGAAUCUUCCGCAAUGGAGGAAAGUCUGACGGCGCAACGCCGCGGGAGUGAUGACGGCCUUCGGGGUGGAAAGCUCUGUUAAUCGGGACGCGGUACCGGAAUAGAAAGCCACGGCUAACUACGUGCCAGCCGCCGCGGUAAUAC